rnacentral:lncRNA from 1 species
UAUAAAAUAUCUUAAAUAAGAGUUAAUUGCAUACAGCUUCAUGUAAACAUAUCGAAUAGCAAAUAUAUUCCUUCAAAGUUUAACUUUUUAUUUUUAUACCUAUAAAAGUCCAGUGAUAUUCAUAUUUGCCCCUCUAGUUUAUUACCGUCAGAGCAUUGCUUAUUUUCUAAUAGCAGUUAAGUUAAAUAACAUUUUUGCCCUUACAAAUGUAUCCCUCGAAAUGUCCUAGUUAUUAGAAUUAUGCAGAAAUGUCCUCCCAAAAAGUAUUUUACCAAUAAAAUAAGAGGAGUAAAAUGGUCAAUUUAACUUAUACACUAAUCAGGGAUAAGUAUUUUACUCACGAUUAACUAUAUUUUUCUAGUGAACCCUAACAGCAGCGGUAUAUUUGAAAUAGUAGGACUUUUGCAGGGAUAAAAUAAAAUGUUGAAUUUUGUAGGGAUAUAUCUGUUAUUCGAUACGUUUACAGUAACUUGUAUGC